GAGAUUUUGUAUCAGAAGGAAGAUACUGAAUCAAUUGAUCAUUUGGUUUCUAAGCUGGAUAAAGCACCUCCAAGAACUGCAGGGGUCUCUCCACAGUUGGAUAGUGGUUCUACAUCAAGAGUUACAGAAACUUCUGCUGCUAGAGUCCUCGAAGACAAUUCACUGAAUCUUCAGCCAAGAUGGAGAACUCUUUCUGAAACUGAGCAAGUUGAAAAGGAUCA
rnacentral:misc_RNA from 1 species